rnacentral:rRNA from 1 species
UACGUAGGGUGCGAGCGUUAAUCGGAAUUACUGGGCGUAAAGCGUGCGCAGGCUGUUUUGUAAGUCAGAUGUGAAAUCCCCGAGCUCAACUUGGGAACUGCGUUUGAAACUACAAGACUAGAAUAUGUCAGAGGGGGGUAGAAUUCCACGUGUAGCAGUGAAAUGCGUAGAGAUGUGGAGGAAUACCAAUGGCGAAGGCAGCCCCCUGGGAUAAUAUUGACGCUCAUGCACGAAAGCGUGGGGAGCAAACGAAGGAUUAGAGUAC